rnacentral:rRNA from 1 species
AUUGAACGCUGGCGGCAGGCCUAACACAUGCAAGUCGAACGAGUGGCGGACGGGUGAGUAAUGUCUGGGAAACUGCCUGAUGGAGGGGGAUACCUACUGGAAACGGUAGCUAAUCCCGCAUACCAUCGGAUGUGCCCAGAGGGGCUUAGCUUGUUUGUUGGUUAACGGCUCACCAAGGCGACGAUCCCUAGCUAGUCUGAGAGGAUGACCAGCCACACUGGAACUUAGACACGGGCCAGACUCCUACGGGAGGCAGCAGUGGGGAAUAUGGCACAAUGGGCGCAAGCCUGAUGCAGCCAUGCCGCGUGUAUGAAGAAGGCCUUCGGGUUGUAAAGUACUUUCAGCGGGGAGGCGUUACCCGCAGAAGAAGCACCGGCUAACUCCGUGCCAGCAGCCGCGGUAAUAC